CCUACGGGUGGCAGCAGUGGGGAAUAUUGGACAAUGGGCGAAAGCCUGAUCCAGCCAUGCCGCGUGUGUGAAGAAGGCCUUCGGGUUGUAAAGCACUUUCAGUGGGGAAGAAAGCCUUGGGGCUAAUACCCUCGAGGAAGGACAUCACCCACAGAAGAAGCACCGGCUAACUCCGUGCCAGCAGCCGCGGUAAUACGGAGGGUGCGAGCGUUAAUCGGAAUUACUGGGCGUAAAGCGCGCGUAGGCGGUCUGAUAAGCCGGUUGUGAAAGCCCCGGGCUCAACCUGGGAACGGCAUCCGGAACUGUCAGGCUAGAGUGCAGGAGAGGAAGGUAGAAUUCCCGGUGUAGCGGUGAAAUGCGUAGAGAUCGGGAGGAAUACCAGUGGCGAAGGCGGCCUUCUGGACUGACACUGACGCUGAGGUGCGAAAGCGUGGGUAGCAAACAGGAUUAAUACCCUAGUAGUC
rnacentral:rRNA from 1 species